CACAAGCGGUGGAUGAUGUGAUUAAUUCGAUGCAACGCGAAAACCUUACCUACCCUUGACAUGCCAGGAACUUGCCAGAGAUGGCUUGGUGCCCGAAAGGGAGCCUGGACACAGGUGCUGCAUGGCUGUCGUCAGCUCGUGUCGUGAGAUGUUGGGUUAAGUCCCGCAACGAGCGCAACCCUUGUCAUUAGUUGCCAUCAUUCAGUUGGGCACUCUAAUGAGACUGCCGGUGAUAAACCGGAGGAAGGCGGGGAUGACGUCAAGUCCUCAUGGCCCUUACAUCCCGGGCUACACACGUGCUACAAUGGCAGGUACAGAGGGCUGCGAAGCCGCGAGGUGGAGCGAAUCCCAGAAAACCUGUCUCAGUCCGGAUUGAAGUCUGCAACUCGACUUCAUGAAGGCGGAAUCGCUAGUAACCGCGAAUCAGCAGGUCGCGGUGAAUACGUUCCCGGGCCUU
rnacentral:rRNA from 1 species